CAGUCGCCGCGGUAAAACGGAAGGUCCAGGCGUUAUCCGGAUUUAUUGGGUUUAAAGGGAGCGUAGGCCGGAGAUUAAGUGUGUUGUGAAAUGUAGACGCUCAACGUCUGACUUGCAGCGCAUACUGGUUCCCUUGAGUACGCACAACGUUGGCGGAAUUCGUCGUGUAGCGGUGAAAUGCUUAGAUAUGACGAAGAACUCCGAUUGCGAAGGCAGCUGACGGGAGCGCAACUGACGCUUAAGCUCGAAGGUGCGGGUAUCAAACAGGAUUAGAUACCCCCGUAGUCCCUGUCUCUUAUAC
rnacentral:rRNA from 1 species